UACGUAGGGGGCAAGCGUUGUCCGGAAUCAUUGGGCGUAAAGCGCGUGUAGGCGGCCAGAAAAGUCCGCUGUGAAAACUCGAGGCUCAACUUCGAGCUGUCGGUGGAAACUUUCUGGCUAGAGUCCGGAAGAGGAGAAUGGAAUUCCUGGUGUAGCGGUGAAAUGCGCAGAUAUCAGGAGGAACACCGGUGGCGAAGGCGGGUCUCUGGGCCGAUACUGACGCUGGAGGAGCGAAAGCGUGGGGAGCGAACAGG
rnacentral:rRNA from 1 species